rnacentral:misc_RNA from 1 species
GAAAUGCGAUAAGUAAUGUGAAUUGCAGAAUUCCGUGAAUCAUCGAAUCUUUGAACGCACAUUGCGCCCUCUGGUAUUCCGGGGGGCAUGUCUGUCCGAGCGUCAUUGCGAACCCCUCAAGCACGGUUUGUGUGAUGGGCCCUCCCGCGUCUUGGUCGUCAAGACGGGCCCGAAAUGCAGUGGCGGCUUCGCGGUUAUCCGAUCAGCCAGAGCGUAUGGGGACUUUCUCUCUGUCACACGCCCGCGGCGCGGACCGACGCCUGUCGACCUUCAUUCAUCGUUUUCUCGGUUGACCUCGGAUCAGGUAGGGAUACCCGCUGAACUUAAGC